rnacentral:lncRNA from 10 species
GAAAUUAUUUUAGCAUCCUUAUUUCCAAAUCCUCUAAACACCCUGAGGACAUGUGAUGCAAAGGUUUUAUUGGUGGAGAUUUGAAAAGAAAUGAUCUGUACGAAGGCCCCUUACACAGUCUCAUGGACUGUGUCAUGAGCAAGUAGUCAAGCUCCUUUCGUGGAGGAGAUAAUUUGGGAUCCAAUAAUACAGAUGCACAAUCUCUGACCAAAAAGUCACAAAGUCUUAAGGGACAUGGCCUGGGCACAAUGUUAACAAAACUCCCUAUUUUCCCCACCCCAUAGUAGCUCAACACCCACAAUGUGCACUUAUAUCCGGUGUCCCCAGCCAAAGCCAGUGGGAAGCUCAGCACCAUCAGUGUCACUGUCAGCGCUGCCAUGCGGGAGCCUCCAGGGAGCUUCACACACCAUGCUGGAGAACAGGAAAGGACCAGGGGCCAGAGGAGGAGGUCUUUCGAUACUGGAAAAUGCUGUGAUUCUGUGGACGCCUGAAGGAGCAGCAGCCCCGGGUAUCUGAUAAUAUGACAGAAUGACAGCUAUUGACUAGAGAGCUUAAUCCGUACCUGUUUACAGGUAGGGAUGUCUUUAAUAAGUUAAAGGAAAUUGAAAGUUUGUUAAUAAUUUAAUCUGAGUAAGAAUAUCUUUUUCAAGUGUGUCUCCUGAUGCUGCCCCCAGGUUUAGUGGCCCCUCCAGAACACACACAGGCAAGGGGCUAACAGGGGCCACCUAUGUGCAAUGGAGGGUCUGAAGGUGCCUUUGUAUGGCAUUUACCCUAACAAUGUGAUAAGGUCAACUGUGCAAUCCAAGUAUUCAUGGGUCUGAGAGAUCGAUCGAAGACUGUGAAAGUUAGCUGUUCAUAGAACAACUCUUUUUUUUUUGAGACGGAGUCUGUCUCUGUU